GAUGAACGCUGGCGGCGUGCCUAAUACAUGCAAGUCGAGCGAACGGACGAGAAGCUUGCUUCUCUGAUGUUAGCGGCGGACGGGUGAGUAACACGUGGAUAACCUACCUAUAAGACUGGGAUAACUUCGGGAAACCGGAGCUAAUACCGGAUAAUAUUUUGAACCGCAUGGUUCAAAAGUGAAAGACGGUCUUGCUGUCACUUAUAGAUGGAUCCGCGCUGCAUUAGCUAGUUGGUAAGGUAACGGCUUACCAAGGCGACGAUGCAUAGCCGACCUGAGAGGGUGAUCGGUCACACUGGAACUGAGACACGGUCCAGACUCCUACGGGAGGCAGCAGUAGGGAAUCUUCCGCAAUGGGCGAAAGCCUGACGGAGCAACGCCGCGUGAGUGAUGAAGGUCUUCGGAUCGUAAAACUCUGUUAUUAGGGAAGAACAUAUGUGUAAGUAACUGUGCACAUCUUGACGGUACCUAAUCAGAAAGCCACGGCUAACUACGUG
rnacentral:rRNA from 1 species